rnacentral:rRNA from 1 species
GACGAACGCUGGCGGCGUGCUUAACACAUGCAAGUCGAACGGAGUGGCGAACGGGUGAGUAACACGUGGGUGACCUGCCCUGCACUUCGGGAUAAGCCUGGGAAACUGGGUCUAAUACCGGAUAGUGUGGGAUGGGCCCGCGGCCUAGCAGCUUGUUGGGGGGGUAAUGGCCUACCAAGGCGGCGACGGGUAGCCGGCCUGAGAGGGUGGACGGCCCCAGAGGGACUGGGACAGGGGCCAGACUCCUACUGGAGGCAGCAGUGGGAAAGAUUGCACAAUGGGCGGAAGCCUGAAGCAGGGACGUCGGGUGGGGGAUGACGGCCUUCGGGGUGGAAACUCCUUUCACCAUCGACGCGGUAGAUGGAGAAGAAGCACCGGCUAACUACGUGCCAGCAGCCGCGGUAAUUC